rnacentral:rRNA from 1 species
GUGGGGAAUUUUGGACAAUGGGGGCAACCCUGAUCCAGCCAUGCCGCGUGAGUGAAGAAGGCCUUCGGGUUGUAAAGCUCUUUCGGUGGGGAAAAACGAGCUCGGGCCAAUACCCCGGGUGAGGGAUGGUACCUGCAGAAGAAGCACCGGCUAACUACGUGCCAGCAGCCGCGGUAAUACGUAGGGUGCGAGCGUUAAUCGGAAUUACUGGGCGUAAAGCGUGCGCAGGCGGCCAUUUAUGUCUGCUGUGAAAGCCCCGGGCUCAACCCGGGAACGGCGGUGGAAACUGGAUGGCUGGAGUGCGGCAGAGGGGGGUGGAAUUCCACGUGUAGCAGUGAAAUGCGUAGAGAUGUGGAGGAACACCGAUGGCGAAGGCAGCCCCCUGGGCCGACACUGACGCUCAGGCACGAAAGCGUGGGGAGCAAACAGGAUUAGAAACCCUGGUAGUCC